AAAUCGUCAAAGCCAAAGCUGUGCCUCACUCGUGGGCUUUCGCAAUAAGAUUUCGAAGGGUCUGGGCGUAUACAGACAAGAAGCAAGCAGCAAACGAGAGACUGGAAUGGAAGCUGCAAACAAGAAAGUUGCUGCAGCCCAUAUAGGGCUCCAGUGAUGAACAUGGCUGCCCAGGAAAACAUAUCUUUGUGUUGAAGCCGGUCUGUGCAUAUUUUAAUGAAGACUAUGAGGUCUGCACCUCGUUCCACACUCACAAAGCUGGCCAGACAGCUGUGGAGUGAGGGCCCCCAACACCAUGCCUCUGCUAUUGGGUCAUCACUACUACACUUCUCAGGCAUUGUUCUUCCCUUGGACAAUGACAAAACGCUAACUGCAAGGAGCGUGGAGAAAGGAUUGGUGCUUCAGCUCGGAGUGUAUUUCAACUACGAUGUGCAGUGCCUGCCACCAACGUUUCUUAUGUUACAAUCCAUGCAAUGGUAUGCGUUCUCAUGUAUUACACUCAUCGUAUCAUAAAUCGUUAUCACGUAGUCGACAACUACUCCGCUGUAUUCGUCCUUGUAUUGUUCAUUCUUACCGUGGGGUGAGAAUAAGUUUCACGGUCAUGUGUUUCAAAUGUUUCUUUCUUUUUUUUUUUUUGUCUUUCUAUUCCUUGGUU